rnacentral:rRNA from 1 species
AGUAAAUAGAUACCCGGGUAGUCCACGCCGUAAACUAUGGAUGCUAGCUGUUGGCCGUAUCGACCCGGUCAGUAGCGAAAGCUAAACGCGUUAAGCAUCCCGCCUGUGGAGUACGGUCGCAAGACUAAAACAUAAAGGAAUUGACGGGGACCCGCACAAGCGGUGGAGCGUGUUGUUUAAAUUCGAUGCUAAGCGAAGAACCUUACCCAGGUUUGACAUCUUCGGAAUUACUACGAAAGUAGUGAGUGCCUUCGGGAACCGAAUGACAGGUGAUGCAUGGCCGUCGUCAGCUCGUGUCGUGAGAUGUUUGGUUGAGUCCAUCAACGAGCGCAACCCUU